GAUGAACGCUGGCGGCGUGCCUAAUACAUGCAAGUCGAGCGAACGGACGAGAAGCUUGCUUCUCUGAUGUUAGCGGCGGACGGGUGAGUAACACGUGGAUAACCUACCUAUAAGACUGGGAUAACUUCGGGAAACCGGAGCUAAUACCGGAUAAUAUUUUGAACCGCAUGGUUCAAAAGUGAAAGACGGUCUUGCUGUCACUUAUAGAUGGAUCCGCGCUGCAUUAGCUAGUUGGAAGGUAACGGCUUACCAAGGGAACGAUGCAUAGCCGACCCGAGAGGGUGAUCGGCCACACUGGAACUGAGACACGGUCCAGACUCCUACGGGAGGCAGCAGUAGGGAAUCUUCCGCAAUGGGCGAAAGCCUGACGGAGCAACGCCGCGUGAGUGAUGAAGGUCUUCGGAUCGUAAAACUCUGUUAUUAGGGAAGAACAUAUGUGUAAGUAACUGUGCACAUCUUGACGGUACCUAAUCAGAAAGCCACGGCUAACUACGUG
rnacentral:rRNA from 1 species